AGUACGGUACCUGAAAGACUGCUCCAGUUCGUGGAGAUGGGGACCAAAGAAAGCCCGGAGUUUCCUUGGAUCAUCAUUGCCACUAACGUGGGGGCCGCUGCCUGAAAAUGACACCUAUAUAGAGAAAGAAAAAGCAAACUGAAGAAGUAUUUUCUUGUUGAUGUUUCGUCAGACACCUGGAUCCAGUUACAGCUUUGGAUCCAUCGCAUGGACUUUUCAGAUCCUUUACGUAUCAGGCACACCUCGGCUCCCUGUUUUCUUCCUUUUGGCAGAAGAGACCUCCCAUUCAGCAUGUGUUUAUCUCCAGUCUCAGAGAAAAGAAAUGCGAGAACCUUUGGAUGACACUAACAGGGUCUGCCUCUAUGAUUUGUGCAUCGGCUCUCCCUGACCUUUAAAUGAUCCAGGGGAAGUCACAUACCACAUCUUCGUGUGAGUGGGGUAGAAAAUGUUGUCUUAUAAGGAAGGGUGGUGAAUAAUUAAGAAUAACUAAGAACAGUUAAGUCUCCUCUAAUGCCCACAUUAUUGUUAUGAUCAUUAAAUGAGGUGAACAAGUAA